rnacentral:misc_RNA from 1 species
AUUCAGAUGAGCAAAUAUUAUAUUGGGUUAUUUCUUAUCUAAAUAAUAUAAUAUAAUAGUCCUACAAAUACAAUAUGAAAACCAAGAUGAAAAAAAAAUAAUCUCAGAAACAUUGACUGACACAACUAAGACUUUGGUUUCCCACCAUAAGCUUGCUGACAAAUCGACGUAGAUUUCUGUGAUUUCAAGCAAAGUUGCGAAGAAAUCGGACAUUUUUGUAAACAAUUAUCUCCUAAACUGCCGGUAACUGAAGUUUCCCGGCCGAAAAAUCCCGCCGGCGGUGAUCCAUUCAAGAAAUUACCGUCAAGAUACAACCUUUUCAACGUCGCCUUUUUGCUAUACUGCAACGGAAUCGGUCCCCGGAACUUGUUAUACCUCAAUGUCAACGACGACAAUCGAGGGAAAAUCGCGAAAUUUACCGGUAAAUAUCCUUCGAUUUUGUUGAAACCCAAAUCGACGGCGACAAGGUCGCUGUUCAAAUUAACAACAUUUGAGAUCUUGACGAGUGUAAAGCUGUUGUUCGCCAUGUCGAUUUGUUGUAACGAAGGUAACUGAAAGAACCAAGUUUCAAUAGUUCCAAAUAACGAAUUUUCACUAAGCUCCACAACUUCCAGUUGAUUCAACCCAUUAAACGACGAUUUCAAUAGAGGCCCAGAUAACGAAUUAGCCUUCGCUGCAAGUUCUAGUAGAUUUGGGGGUAAUUUUGGGAGUGACCCAGUUAGCUUAUUGUAACUA